rnacentral:lncRNA from 1 species
AAAAACAGCAAUGAGAAAAGAGCAGAAGUCUCAGGUGUUACAGGGAUUUCUGCUAUUUCUGCCUUUUCUCUUCGAAUUUCCCAAAUGAUUGGCUACGAGCAAGUUUUCCUCAGGUAAAUAUGUUGCUGUGGUUAAAGCAAGACAAAGAACAAAAAGCUUGUGCAAAAGUGACUUAAGUGAGAAAUGGCUUAUUUUCACUCAGGUCCACGUUACAGUCCAACACAGUGAGCACAUCCAGGAAGUCCCAACAGUAGAAUUUCUGAGGGAGGGGACACAUCAUACCCAUUGCUAAGAGCAGAGAGAAAAUGAAUGGAUGCCUGCAAAUCUACUGAGUUGGCUUGUUCCUCUUCUGGUAAUUCAGGAUUCAGACUC